rnacentral:rRNA from 1 species
GACGGGACCCGCACAAGCGUGGAUGAUGUGGAUUAAUUCGAUGCAACGCGAAAACCUUACCUACCUUGACAUGUCCGGAAUCCCGAAGAGAUUUGGGAGUGCUCGCAAGAGAGCCGGAACACAGGUGCUGCAUGGCUGUCGUCAGCUCGUGUCGUGAGAUGUUCGGUUAAGUCCGCUAACGAGCGCAACCCUCGCUGUGUGUUAUAUGUGUCACACGGGACUGCCGGUCUUAAGCCGGAGGAAGGUGGGGAUGAUGUCAAGUCAGCAUGGCCUUUAUAUCCUGGGCUACACACACGCUACAAUGGCCAACACAAUAGGUUGCUAAGCCGCGAGGUGGCGCCAAUCCAUAAAGUUGGUCUCAGUUCAGAUUGUAGGCUGCAACCCGCCUGCAUGAAGAUGGAGUUGCUAGUAACCGCAGGUCAGCUAUACUGCGGUGAAUACGUUCCCGGGGCUU